rnacentral:rRNA from 1 species
UACAGAGGUGGCAAGCGUUGUUCGGAAUUACUGGGCGUAAAGGGCUCGUAGGCGGCCAACUAAGUCGGAUGUGAAAUCCCCAGGCUUAACCUGGGAACUGCAUCCGAUACUGGAUGGCUUGAAUUCGGGAGAGGGAUGCAGAAUUCCAGGUGUAGCGGUGAAAUGCGUAGAUAUCUGGAGGAAUACCGGUGGCGAAGGCGGCAUCCUGGACCGACAUUGACGCUGAGGAGCGAAAGCUAGGGGAGCAAACGGG